GACGAACGCUGGCGGCGUGCCUAACACAUGCAAGUCGAACGGAGAUACUUUUGAAGCUUGCGAUAGAGUAUCUUAGUGGCGGACGGGUGAGUAACGCGUGGGUAAUCUGCCCAUAAGUGGGGAACAACAGUUGGAAACGACUGCUAAUACCGCAUAAUCUGCCGUAAGGUAGGAAAGGUGGCCUCUGAAUAUGCUGCCGCUUAUGGAUGAGCCCGCGUCUGAUUAGCUAGUUGGUGGGGUAAAGGCCUACCAAGGCGACGAUCAGUAGCCGGCCUGAGAGGGUGAACGGCCACACUGGGACUGAGACACGGCCCAGACUCCUACGGGAGGCAG
rnacentral:rRNA from 1 species